rnacentral:rRNA from 1 species
AGUGAACGCUGGCGGUAGGCCUAACACAUGCAAGUCGAACGGCAGCACAGUAAGAGCUUGCUCUUACGGGUGGCGAGUGGCGGACGGGUGAGGAAUACAUCGGCACCUACUUAAUCGUGGGGGAAAACGUGGGUAACAUUACGCUAAUACCGCUUACGCCCUACGGGUCAAGGCAGGCGAUCGUCGGAGCUUGAGCAACUCAAUGAGCAGAUGUCGGAUUCGCUGGUAGGCGGGGUAAAGGCCGACCAAGGCGCCGACCCGUAGCUGGUCGGAGAGGGUGGUCAGCCAGACGGGAAGUGAGACAGGGUCGAGACUCCGACAGGAGGAAGCAGUGGGGAAUAUUGGACGAUGGGGGCAAGCCUGAUCCAGCCAUACCGCGUGGGCGAAGAAGGCCCGCGGGUGGCAAAGUCCUUUUGUUGGGAAAGAAAAACAGCAGGAUAAGACCCCGCUGUUCUGACGGUACCCAAAGAAUAAGCACCGGCUAACUUCGUG